ensembl:lncRNA
GCGCGAGUUUAGGACCUCGUGCUCGCCGGCGCCCUCCCAUUCCUGCAGUCGGCCCGCGGCGCCAGGGGGCGUGCCGAUAAGUCCUAUUCAUCGAGGGAGGAGCCGGGCACUGCCCACCAGGAGGCCCCACAGCCAGAGGGAGACGGAGUCAUGCCAAGAAGCUCCUUUACCACGGUACAGAAGUGAUGUCUUGGCCUUGCCUGCUGUUACAGAGUGGAGGAUAUUUGUAUGUACCUACUGACUCGAUGGACGAAAACUGUGAUGUGCCUUGUAGAGAAAAUACAUAUAUUAGUUGCAACGUGUGGGAUCUAGUUCCCUGACAAGGGACCGAACCCAGGGCCCCUGCAUUGGGAGCGAGGAGCCACUGGACCACCAGGGAAGUUCCCAACCUUUUUGUUUUAUUUACUUAAGUCUACUCACGUUUUUGGAAAUUGUAAUUUGGUUGAUUUGUAAGAAGACGUGGAAUUUUGGUCCUUCUUCCAAUAACCCAUAUUUGCCUAGUGGUGUAAGUUUACAGCCAACCUACUGUUCUCUUUCCUGCUUGGUUCCAUUCCUGGUAGCUUUCUGUUACGCAAAUCACAGCAUAAUUUUUUAAAAGACAUUUCACAUGGUGUUUGAACAUAGUAUGUACACAGCCAACAAUACCCAUAAUUCAAUAGAAGUGUUGAAUGGCUAUAACCAAGUUCAUGCACACACCUACAAAAACAGCUGAGUCACACCUGCUGCCUGGCUAUCUGCCAUUGUAAGGAGCCAUCUGAUGCAACGUGCAGUAUGAUUUCUGAGGAGUCAAAUGAGAAAAAAUAUGCAGCUAACAAUUGAUGAAAUCCGGGAUUUCAACACCUGACUUAAUCAAAUAAGUUUGGCAAAGCAGUCAUAACUAGCCCAGGGAAUCUUCUAAGACAAGGCUCCACCCGUCUUUCCCUAGAGCUAUUGGAGAGGGUGUUUCUCUGCACACCUGUAACUUAUUCAUGGCACACCACUAUGAUUACUGUCUUACAUUAUUUAUCCCAGUAGGAAUAUGUCCAGCUUUCUUUAUGUGUAGAGACCCUGUCAUAUGCCUUUAGCCUGUGUUUCAUUGCCAAGCAACCAUCCUAAAACAUAGCCUUUUUGCAAUACUCAAGCAUCACGGACUCGAUGGACGUGAGUCUGAGUGAACUCCGGGAGAUGGUGAUGGACAGGGAGGCCUGGCAUGCUGCGAUUCAUGGGGUCGCAAAGAGUCGGACACGACUGAGCGACUGAACUGAAC